GUAGUACUCCCUCCGUUCGGAAUUACUUGUCUUGGAGAUGGAUGUAUCUAGAACUAAAAUACGUCUAGGUACAUCUAUUUCUGCGACAAGUAAUUCCGAACGGAGGGAGUAGCUC
rfam:Triticum aestivum genome assembly, contig: Triticum_aestivum_CS42_TGACv1_scaffold_501124_6BL